UACCAGCACCCCGAGUGGUCGGGACGUUUAUUGGGCCUAAAGCAUCCGUAGCCGGUUCUACAAGUCUUCCGUUAAAUCCAACUGCUUAACAGGUGGGCUGCGGAAGAUACUAUAGAGCUAGGAGGCGGGAGAGGCAAGCGGUACUCGAUGGGUAGGGGUAAAAUCCGUUGAUCCAUUGAAGACCACCAGUGGCGAAGGCGGCUUGCCAGAACGCGACGACGGUGAGGGAUGAAAGCUGGGGGAGCAAACCGG
rnacentral:rRNA from 1 species